GUGUGUCUUUUUGUUUGUGUGAGCAGUAAAGGCUGCACCUGUACCUGGCUCCCCUCACAGCUCUGGUCCCACCUCACCUCCAACACUGAAGCCCCGCGCCAACCACCCUAAACCGAAACCAAAGAGAGUGAAAGCCAUCUACAACUGUUCUGCUGAUAACUCAGAUGAGUUGACGUUCACAGAAGGAGAGGUGAUCRUAGUGGACGGAGAGGAGGACCCGGAGUGGUGGUUUGGACAUAUGGAGGGGGAGCCGACCAGGAGAGGGGUCUUCCCUGUGAAAUUUGUACACUUCAUCACUGACUGAUGCAUCUGAUGGUGUGACCGAAGCUGUCUCUCGCCUCUAGGCUGUUUUUAUCUAUGGCUGUAUCAGAAGAGGCUGGUGGGAGGAGCUAUAGGAGAGCAGACUCAUUGUAAUGGCUAGAAUGGAAUUGAUGGAACA